rnacentral:rRNA from 1 species
UACGUAGGGGGCAAGCGUUGUCCGGAUUUAUUGGGCGUAAAGCGCGUGUAGGUGGCGAUGUAAGUCGGGUGUGAAAUCCCUCGGCUCAACCGAGGAAGUGCACUCGAUACUGUGUCGCUUGAGUGUUGGAGGGGGAUGGCGGAAUUCCCGGUGUAGAGGUGAAAUUCGUAGAUAUCGGGAGGAACACCUGUGGCGAAGGCGGCCAUCUGGACAACUACUGACACUGAGACGCGAAAGCGUGGGUAGCAAACAGG